UUGACCUCGGAUCAGGUAGGGAUACCCGCUGAACUUAAGCAUAUCAAUAAGCGGAGGAAAAGAAACCAACAGGGAUUGCCCCAGUAACGGCGAGUGAAGCGGCAAGAGCUCAAAUUUGAAAGCUGGCCCCCUCGGGGUCCGCAUUGUAAUUUGCAGAGGAUGCUUCGGGAGUGGCCCCCAUCUAAGUGCUCUGGAACGGGCCGUCAUAGAGGGUGAGAAUCCCGUAUGGGAUGGGGUGUCCGCGACCAUGUGAAGCUCCUUCAACGAGUCGAGUUGUUUGGGAAUGCAGCUCUAAAUGGGUGGUAAAUUUCAUCUAAAGCUAAAUAUUGGCCGGAGACCGAUAGCGCACAAGUAGAGUGAUCGAAAGAUGAAAAGCACUUUGAAAAGAGAGUUAAAAAGCACGUGAAAUUGUUGAAAGGGAAGCGCUUGCGACCAGACUCGCCUGCGGGGUUCAGCCGGUAUUCGUACCGGUGUACUUCCCCGUGGGCGGGCCAGCGUCGGUUUGGGCGGCCGGUCAAAGGCCCUCGGAAUGUAACGCCUCUCGGGGCGUCUUAUAGCCGAGGGUGCCAUGCGGCCAGCCCGGACCGAGGAACGCGCUUCGGCACGGACGCUGGCAUAAUGGUCGUAAGCGACC
rnacentral:rRNA from 3 species